GCCCUUCGGGACAUCCGAUAAAAUUGGAACGCUACAGAGAAGAUUAGCAUGGCAUCUGCGCAAGGAUGACACGCACAAAUAGAGAAAUGAUCCAAGUUUUU